UAAUUUUUGACAUACUUUAUUUGUUAACAUACGGAAAUCAUCAAAUAUAAAGUUUAUUUUGGUUAGAAAAAAUAGAAAGUAGUAUGAUUAUGAUAUAUGACAAAAUCUAUUAUGUAUAUUAAAACAAUACAUUUUGGUGCCACUUGGCAUAAUUUUAAUCCACUAAUUGCCACCUGGCAAGUUAAUACUCCUCUCAAUAUUGUUUUAGGCGCUAAACCUUUUGUUUCUUACACACGCUUCUUUUUUCAAUUCUUUGUAACCCUAAUAAGCAUCUCAGUCUUCCCAUUCUCUCUUCUUCCUCUUCAUCUUCUUUCAUCUUCUUCCAUUAAACCAUCUUUGUUCCUUAUCAACACCUUUCAUACAAUGGCAUUCAAAAUGUCGACGAGGAGAGCUCCGAUUACCCUUUAAUCCACCGCCUCUGACCCGAUUUCAAUGACACCUGACUCUCAAAACCCUAGAUUGCAACUGGAAUCUUGAGAUAGGUUAGAACGAUGGCUAUCGGGAGCCUCCUGUUAGGCAUUUUCAAAGUUUCAAACGGAUUGAUCGCCGGAUCUUCCACUCUAGGGUUUCAGAUUGAAAGAUUGUAUAUUUAUAAGGACCCCUUAUCAUCGCUUCUCUGGUCCUGAAAAGUCUCUAAGUUAAAGUUACAGGUUUCUGGUAUGUGGUCCCGGAAGAAGAAAUCUCAACCGAUCAUCUUUUCAACGCCGAGCACCACUUCAGUUGAUUGAUAAAUAUUUUUGCUUUUGUAGAUUGGGACUCGGCUCGUGGAUGUUACAAUCAUCAGGCCAAUACCCACAUCUACAACGUUUAGAAGAAAAACGCCAAGAAGCAGAGGUGUGGGCAAUGGAGCUUGAGAAACAGUAAUCAGUCAUGAGCCGAUACAAGAUCGACAUCAGCGCCCAUUCAAGUCCGUCAAAGAGGCGAUUGCCCUCUUCGGUGAGAGGGUUCUCGCUGGCGAACUUUCUGCCAACAAACGCAAAGAGAUGAAUCCGAUAGAUGGUCUGAUUACCUCACAAGGGCAUUUAGAUGAACUUCUAUGGAAUUUCGAAGGAAGCUUUGUUGUAUUCCCAGGUGUGAUUGUAGAGCCAAGCUUUGUUGGCUAUAGGACACUUUUCAAAGGUAAUGCAUCUAUCUUCAACUAGAUGAUAUUAUUAGUGGUCAAGAAUCUUUAUUUCAAAUACUACAAAUCAACUAUACUAGACUAGCUGAGAAGAUAUCCAUCUGGCGACCCUUAGACGUGAAGCUUAACUUUGGAAAGGCCUAGAACAAAAAUGAUGAUUUACAUGGGCUUCAAUGUCAGUAGAUAUUAUAUGUUUGUAUUAAGCCACCCGCGAAACUCGCGGGAUCUUAGGCUAGUUUAAAAUAAAGAGGAAUGUUAUUUUAGUCAAUUUUAUCCAAUAUUCUACCUUCAUCAUCUCUCUCUAACUUCAAAACCCACAAUCUUCAACUUUUUCUUCACUUUCUAUCUCAAUAAUCAUUACAUUAUAGUGCGAUUUUCGUCAUUAAUCAAUGAUUCAAACCAUGGUUGCAAAAGUCGCUAGGCGCCCCCUAGUCGGAUUCGGGAGUACCCGGGAAGUACUCGGCUUAGGCGGAGAUUACUCGGGGAGUAAUUAUGGAAGAUGGAACACCCUUUCAAGUAUCUAUAAAAUUUAAUAUAAAUUGUAAUUUUUGACAUACUUUAUUUGUUAACAUACGGAAAUCAUCAAAUAUAAAGUUUAUUUUGGUUAGAAAAAAUAGAAAGUAGUAUGAUUAUGAUAUAUGACAAAAUCUAUUAUGUAUAUUAAAACAAUACAUUUUGGUGCCACUUGGCAUAAUUUUAAUCCACUAAUUGCCACCUGGCAAGUUAAUACUCCUCUCAAUAUUGUUUUAGGCGCUAAACCUUUUGUUUCUUACACACGCUUCUUUUUUCAAUUCUUUGUAACCCUAAUAAGCAUCUAAGUCUUCCCAUUCUCUCUUCUUCCUCUUCAUCUUCUUUCAUCUUCUUCCAUUAAACCAUCUUUGUUCCUUAUCAACACCUUUCAUACAAUGGCAUUCAAAAUGUCGACGAGGAGAGCUCCGAUUACCCUUUAAUCCACCGCCUCUGACCCGAUUUCAAUGACACCUGACUCUCAAAACCCUAGAUUGCAACUGGAAUCUUGAGAUAGGUUAGAACGAUGGCUAUCGGGAGCCUCCUGUUAGGCAUUUUCAAAGUUUCAAACGGAUUGAUCGCCGGAUCUUCCACUCUAGGGUUUCAGAUUGAAAGAUUGUAUAUUUAUAAGGACCCCUUAUCAUCGCUUCUCUGGUCCUGAAAAGUCUCUAAGUUAAAGUUACAGGUUUCUGGUAUGUGGUCCCGGAAGAAGAAAUCUCAACCGAUCAUCUUUUCAACGCCGAGCACCACUUCAGUUGAUUGAUAAAUAUUUUUGCUUUUGUAGAUUGGGACUCGGCUCGUGGAUGUUACAAUCAUCAGGCCAAUACCCACAUCUACAACGUUUAGAAGAAAAACGCCAAGAAGCAGAGGUGUGGGCAAUGGAGCUUGAGAAACAGGUAUACAAUGAAAUUUAUUCACAAAUAGUACACUGGCUUGAUGACCAUACAGUUAAGUAGGCUUCUAAUAAGUUUAAUAAUGCAGCAUAUCAAACACUCCUCUAUAAUACGUGUAGUUUCUUAAUUUUAUUUUAGAUAGCUUCAUAUAUGUUCCAACUCUUUUCCCCUCACAUUCCACUUAGUAAUCAGUCAUGAGCCGAUACAAGAUCGACAUCAGCGCCCAUUCAAGUCCGUCAAAGAGGCGAUUGCCCUCUUCGGUGAGAGGGUUCUCGCUGGCGAACUUUCUGCCAACAAACGCAAAGAGGUAAGUGGAUACAAAUCAGUGUCUUAAUAUAUUUUGAUGAAGAUGAUUAUUUGUUUUAGCUUUUAUUCACAAAACUAAAUAUAGAAAUCUAUUUUAAUGGCAUACAUUAUAUGGUUUAGAACAAAUUUGAAUCUAUUAAUACAGUUUACUCGUGAGAAAUCAAAGUCUUAAUAUUUUUUUAUGAUAAAGGAUGAUGACAGGAGGAAUGAGUUAAUUUGUUUUUGCAGUAACUACAAAAAUUAAAAAUAUAAACUGUUUGGCAUGAGAUAUGAUUUGGGGGUGGUGUUAUGGUGGUGUGGAGGGGUGAAGGUGUGUAGACAAGGAAAUAGAGUGAAAGGGGAGGGAAAAGGCAUUUUAGUUAUUUCACAGCCACUUAACUAGACAAACUAACCCCCAUCCACGCUAGGGACUAUCCGAUAACGAAUUUGCAAAACUUGGGGACUAUAGCUGUAAUUUUAAAAAAGUAGGGACUAUAGGUGAAAUCUGGGCAAACCACAGGGACUAUUCGGGCAAUUUUCUCUCAAACUUUUUUAAUACUUGGGUUGGCAUCUUCGUUACGCACCGGUCUUAAUAUCCAAGUGUCGAAGUUCUCAUCCACAUGAAAUUUAGGAUAAUUCUGUUGACACAUUUAAAGAUGAUGGUCUGAUUACCUCACAAGGGCAUUUAGAUGAACUUCUAUGGAAUUUCGAAGGAAGCUUUGUUGUAUUCCCAGGUGUGAUUGUAGAGCCAAGCUUUGUUGGCUAUAGGACACUUUUCAAAGGUAAUGCAUCUAUCUUCAACUAGAUGAUAUUAUUAGUGGUCAAGAAUCUUUAUUUCAAAUACUACAAAUCAACUAUACUAGACUAGCUGAGAAGAUAUCCAUCUGGCGACCCUUAGACGUGAAGCUUAACUUUGGAAAGGCCUAGAACAAAAAUGAUGAUUUACAUGGGCUUCAAUGUCAGUAGAUAUUAUAUGUUUGUAUUAAGCCACCCGCGAAACUCGCGGGAUCUUAGGCUAGUUUAAAAUAAAGAGGAAUGUUAUUU